rnacentral:rRNA from 1 species
UACAGAGGUCCCAAGCGUUGUUCGGAUUCACUGGGCGUAAAGGGUGCGUAGGCGGUCGGGUAAGUCUGAUGUGAAAUCUCACAGCUUAACUGUGAAACUGCAUUGGAUACUAUUCGGCUUGAGAGUUGGAGGGGGACUGGAAUUCUUGGUGUAGCAGUGAAAUGCGUAGAUAUCAAGAGGAACACCAGUGGCGAAGGCGAGUCUCUGGACAACUUCUGACGCUGAGGCACGAAAGCUAGGGGAGCAAACAGG